GGUUUUAUAGUUUAAUUAAAAAAUUUUAAAUUGCAAAUUUAAAGAAAAAGAAAUUUUAAGACUU
rnacentral:tRNA from 1 species